CCACCCCUGCGCCGGCCUGGGGGGCGGGAUCCUCCGGCUGCGCGGGGCUCGCUCAUAGGCCGCCCGAGGCCGAGCGCCCGCCCCUGCUGCCGGCAGCCUCCGGGAUCCCCCCUCCCCCCGGGGAGCGAAUAGGAGCCCGCCGCUCUCUGGGGGUCUGUGCCCCACCCCUGAGUGUCUGCCCUGCGCUGGGGAGGCGGUGCAUCCAGGAGCAACAAGGAGGGAGGGUGAGGAGCCGAUGCUUCCCCCUCCCAUCAGCAUCACCGGUGCCCAGGAGGUGAUCGUGGCUGCAGGAAAAGCCUCAUAGAAGAGUGUUAGAGCUCUGAAAACAGUGGACAGAUCUGAACAUGCAUAGGAGUGGAGAACCCGUACUGGGCCCUGAUCCCGCAAGAAUUUACAAGUUGCACCUCUUGCUAUGGAAGUCGGAUGAAUCUGCUAGUGCACUUUUGUAAAUCAUGGCAGGAGACCUUCAGGUUUUCACAUACUUCUGCUGCUUGAACACAAUGAGCUGUGGCUGCGGACAGAAAGUCGGGCAUCACAGAAGGGAUGGAACCCAAAUCCUUUCCCACCAAAACCACAAGCCUUUGCUACUUGAACUGAAGGAGAAACUUGUUGAAAUGUGACUAAGCAGGAUGCUGUUAUAGUUGCUGGAACCUGCCACUAGAGAGAGACAUGAUCACAUGAACUAGGCAAAGAUUUGUGGUUGUUUAUACAUUUUUUCCUCUUUGAGCACCUUCAGAGUGGUGGGCAGGAUUUAGCUCUGAAUAUGCAAUUGAUACAUUCGUAAAUAAGAAGUUUGGACCUGUUGUUGCGCAACACCAUUUAGAAGGAAGAUCAUUGCCUAUGUUUAAGUGACUGGUAACUACAACAGUUAGGAAUUCAGUACAGUGUAUCUGUGGUCUCUUUAGAAACAAGUCACACCCUGUCCAUAAUAUCACAGAGUCAAUGCACCUCUAACAGUUUGUCUAAGAAACUUGGUAGGCAGUGACAAUCUGGCAGAAGACCAGAGAUCAAAAUUUAUAUAAAACUGUUGUUCCUCUAGACAUUGCUUGAAAUCUUGCACAUUGAGUUGCCAGAAGAAUGUAACUUGUAUUAUCACAAGUUUAGUUUUGUGCUUCCUGAAUCAUGUCAGAUUUUCUCGAGUUCUUAAACCACUCAAAUUCAGGAGCCCUCCUGAAUGCCAACAAAGGCAAAGGGCUACGUGAGGAUGGCCAACCAGCAAAUGGAUCUCAGACUUUUUAUCACAGUAUUUCAGAGGUGAGAGACUCCAGGGAUUUAUGUGUGAGUACCAGAAUACUAAGAAUCCUUUUCCAGUUUUAUAGUUAUAGCAGUGGCUGCUUUAGAAUGAUAAGCUUUGUAACACUGUAUUUUCAUGACACGCUAAAGUGGUCUUUGCAUUGCUUUUAGUUUGUUGUGCUGUGUUCCGACGAGGGUGAGAAAUGGAAAAAGACCAAGAGGCUAAAGCCACCCUAUUUCCCCAGACAUUUUAUUUUUAAUCAAUAAUUUGCCCCCCAAAAAAAAGCAUAGCAGAGGCCUCUCAAAUGCUCAGAGCAAAGUGGGACCUAAGGCCGUUCCUGCAAGGAAUAGUGCUCUGUCAAGCAGGACUAUGCACUGGCAGGUCAGAAGAAGGUAGCUGAACUUUCCUGAAGGCACAGGGUAAAAGUCCUGCUCGGUAACUGUGCUACAACCACAAAAUUGUGUGGUCUACCCAGGGAGUAGUGGGCCUUGAAUAGCUCUUUAAUGGAGGAUCAAGAAAUCAACAAGUGGAUGGAGGGGCUGGGCAUUAUAAGGAGUGUCAACUGUAGGCUCACUACCCAUUCUGAAAUCAACAUUGGGUCCAAAAUUACAGGACAGAUAGAAUCCAUAAUUUGUUCCCAGUGUCACAAUGUCAUGCCACUGUGUCACAAUGCAGUGUCCUGGUGCAGUGCUGUUAUGCCUUCAUGCUGUGACUUUGCCUCAUACAGUAUGGCUGAAAUCUUGGCCCAUAGAAGCCAAUGGGAGUUUUGCCAUUGACUUUGACGAGACUAGGAUUUUGCCCUGUGAUUUUGUGUCAGUGACCAAUGUUGUCACAGUUGAUGCAACACCGUGGCAUAAAGACACAAAUGUUAAAGUGUGGAUAUUUGACCCCCACUAUGAAAGCAAACAGCAACCCGAGCAGCCAGCCAAGAAAAACAAAGAGUUGGCAGAUGACAGGGUGCUCCUAACUUGUUACAACUGUUCAAAAUGUUUUGAAUACACACUAAAUUUCUGUGCUUAUGGAUGAUCGUAUCAUGGCCUGGAAGUGGAAUCUGAAAAUACUUUAAAAAGACUGAAAGGCUAUGUUGGACACAGCAAUAGCCCUCAGUAAAUCACAGCGAGUAUCCUUACAACUGCAACAAAAAGUGGUGUGGGAGGGACUAUGUUUCCUUUCUUCUUCAGCCACGCAGGAACACCAGUGUUACAAAAGGCUCUUGUAAAUCAAAGCAUUGGCUCUGCAUCAGAUAUUACAUGGAGAGAUACUGGAGUAUCAGAAACUAUGGUAAUGGGUGCAGCAUAAGAAACUGUAUAGAAUAGAAUAGACCUCUCACAAACAAACUGCAUUUAAUAGGAGUCAUUCUCUCCACCUCACAAAAACAACAACCCUACAUUUAAAUAAUCCUGAUUGAAUGACUUGAUCUGGCAUCAUCACUGUUGCUAGCUUCCCCAAAUGAGGGUGUGGAGUGGAGGUUGGGGAUGAAGUCUUGCCCCUCCAUCAUCAGUGAAAGCACAUGCUGUUCCCAUCUACAGAGCAACAGAGCUUCAGCUGACACAUGCACUCCCAUGAGCCUCAAAACAGUGUUUAAGUGAGUCAGAAUUUCUCCUAGGUCUUCAGCUGCAGCACAGGCCUCGUUGCAAGUCCUGAUUGUGGGGUUCACUCCCUUUUACAGAGUAGAGCUAUGACAUCACUGUUGCACAAGAUCUCUUGCACCCCCACCUCUCAAGAAACAUGACCUGUCACGGCACUUCAGCACCUCAACACCAAGGGUGCCAGAUCCCACAAGUGGGAAUAGACAGAGGCAUCUCUAGAAGAAGAAUCCUAGAUUUUGUAACCUCACUGGAUAUAUGAACAAUCAAAAGUUUUCCUUAACAGCUGGAAAAAGUCAGGACUACAUAUCAGGCUAAAGUGUGCAGCCCUAUUACAUGUCACUGAGCACUUCUUCCAUGUACAGUCCUACAGAAGUCUAUGAUGUUCAUCAACAUAGAUAAGAAUUGCACAGUCUAACCUUUUGAGUUCCAACACAUGACUUUGGAGCCCUGGAAUCCGAGACUUUCCGGGUAGGACCCAAAUAGAA